UGCUCGAGUGGCGAACGGGCGAGUAACACGUGAGUAACCUGCCCUUGACUUUGGGAUAACUUCAGGAAACUGGGGCUAAUACCGGAUAGGAGCUCCUGCUGCAUGGUGGGGGUUGGAAAGUUUCGGCGGUUGGGGAUGGACUCGCGGCUUAUCAGCUUGUUGGUGGGGUAGUGGCUUACCAAGGCUUUGACGGGUAGCCGGCCUGAGAGGGUGACCGGCCACAUUGGGACUGAGAUACGGCCCAG
rnacentral:rRNA from 1 species